GAUGAACGCUGGCGGCGUGCUUAACACAUGCAAGUCGAACGAGGCAUUUGCGACAGAUUUUUUCGGAAUGAAGUUGCUUAUGACUGAGUGGCGGACGGGUGAGUAACGCGUGGGUAACCUGCCUUGUACUGGGGGAUAGCAGCUGGAAACGGCUGGUAAUACCGCAUAAGCGCACAAUGUUGCAUGACAUGGUGUGAAAAACUCCGGUGGUAUAAGAUGGACCCGCGUCUGAUUAGCUAGUUGGUGAGAUAACAGCCCACCAAGGCGAUGAUCAGUAGCCGACCUGAGAGGGUGACCGGCCACAUUGGGACUGAGACACGGCCCAGACUCCUACGGGAGGCAGCAGUGGGGAAUAUUGCACAAUGGAGGAAACUCUGAUGCAGCGACGCCGCGUGAGUGAAGAAGUAAUUCGUUAUGUAAAGCUCUAUCAGCAGGGAAGAUAGUGACGGUACCUGACGAAGAAGCUCCGGCUAAAUACGUG
rnacentral:rRNA from 1 species